rnacentral:tRNA from 1 species
UCCCUUGUAGUUCAGUUGGCAGAACGACUGACUGUUAAUCAGUAUGUCGCACGUUCGAGCCGUGCCAAGGGAG